GCCUAAUCGCCAAACACCAUUACAUUCUCCUGUUGUAUUAUCAUGGCAAUCAUUUCAUUCAUAUGACGUGUAAACAAUAAAUAUGUCAUUCUUACAUCACGUCUCUCCGGUUUGAACUAGGCUUUUUAGUGGAUUUUUAUAAACAAUUGUUGUCCCAAGAGUAUACAUCCUACUGACAAAGGUGACCCCCUGACCUUUGUGCAGCUUCUGCAGAGGUCACAAAAGGAUGUUACAACUUUUGCAUUAUUAUCCCACCCCCAGAUACAGUAGAGUGUUAUGACAUUUUGUGGAGUAGUAGCAGACUCAGGCUUUCUGAAGGGCAACACAUAUUAACAUUUGUAUAAUGAGUACUUUUACUUUUGGUACUUUAAGUAUAUUUUGAUGCUGAUACUUUUGUACUUCUACUUGAGUAACAUUUUGAAUGCAGGACUUAACAGAAUAUUCUGCACUCUGGUACUUUUACUAGAAAAUAUAAGUAGCCUACUUAUCCCACCUCUGAUUAACAUGCAUUAAUAUAUAUAAUUCAGUAUGCUGUGCCAGGUUUGUGUACACUAAAAUAACUAAGAAGACAAAAUAAAACAACCUUUGAUAGCUCCAUUAAAGAUUGAAAUGGAAUUGACCAACCUUAGGGAAACUCCCACCGGUCUUUAGUAUGACAUUCCGGAAAUGCUGCUACUUAAUGGCGAGGUCAUUGAUACCUCAGUGCUUGAUACACAGCAGGAGGAGGCAGAUAGCAGCAGUAGGGAUUCAGCUGCCGUUGGAUGAGGAAUUUAUCGGCGUAUGAAGAAGGAAACAAUAUUUUUUCACCGACAUUAUUCAGCGGGUCUCUCUGAUGCUACGCUGUUUGUUGCUGUUUAUUCAUCCUACCAAAAGAGAAGGAAAAUAAAACCCUACAUUUUAAAUCAGCCGAACUUCUGACAGCCUUUACAACAGGAGCCAUGGUGGCAGCAGUCCUUAAGUUGUAUUUGAUUGGAACGGCUCUGAGUGUCCUUGUUGUCUUUUAUGUCAUCGUGGACUCCUUUGGUGGACUGAUGUACGUCCAGGACGAUCACUACACAACGGACCAGCAGACACAGAGACAGAUCUCCUCAGGCCACAACAGGAAACGAUCACCUGUGACUAAAAACAUUGACUAAUAAGGAGAACCUUUAGGUCACAAUGGACUUUUGUGGCAAUGAUUGUCCAAUCGCUGUGGAUUAUAAAUAUCCUGCUUCCAUUCCUAAGUAUGGACAUCAUGAUAAUGUCUAACAUGCAGGACGUAUACUGGAUUAGACACUUGUCUUUGUCAGAGCAGCUCUACAACCAAUGAUACAUGUAACGGCACUACUGAACAAUGAUUUGCACUAAAAAUUAGAGUUUGUUUAUUUAUGAUGUGAAAUGUAAGAGUUGUUUUUUUUCAUUCAAAUAAAGUCAUUUUUAAAUGUU